AAUAAUUUUAUGGUUGGGUCACAACAUGAGGAACUGUAUUUAAAGGGCCAGAAGGUUGAGAACCACUGCUCUAGAGUGAAUGGUUCAAAAUGAAAUAACUGUAUGCCUAAAGUGUGAUGUGGCACCAGUUGUAUUUAAGCCCCAAAGGUAUGUAAUUAUCUUACUACUCUUGUACAUACACACAAAUACAUUUAUGCUUAUGGAAAGAGUUUUAUAUGCAAAAGAAAACCAACUUUCUGAUAAGUGAUGAACAGGCCAUUAUUUUUGAAGGGUUCAGACGUUGUUUGGUGUUACAAAUAUUAUUUCAAUGCCUGUGCAUUUCUUUAAAUUUCAUUUAAAUUCAUAAAUCACUGGAUUCUCAGGUAAAUCGGUACCAAACUCUGGCUUUCAAAUAUUAAGUUUAAUUUAGGGAGUUUCUCAAAGCACCAUGUUUAUGAUUUACUAGUUACCCGUCGCACGAAAUCGUGCAAGACCCGGGACCCACCCCUCCCCCCGCACCAUGGGACUGGCCUGCGUCCUGGAGUCAUGCCCCCGCGUGGCCGUCUCACCACGAGAUGGCCCUGAAUCCUGGAGUGCUGCCGGGCCCUGCCCUUACGGCGCACAUGGGGGGGGGGGGCCAUGGAAACCCUGGCAGAAGUUUCGUCCGCAGGAACCCCAGGGAAGCUGUGUGGAGCGGCUGCCGGCCCUGCCCCCACUGCCCCAUCCCCGCUGUGCGCACCGCCAUCUGUGACGGCGUUAUGGUGUGAGGGUCAAUUUGCAUAUUACCACUUUAUUAUAUAGGAUACUCUGCCCCUGUACUCAGUGAUUUAUAUACACCAUUAUUGGACUCUAUUUUGAUCAUCAGUUGUAUUAAUUAAAGGCAAUCAAUGUACUCUGGCUUCCUAUUGAAAUUUGUAGCCUACUUAAAUUUUUGAUUUUGUAUACAGGUUAUUUGUCUGGUCUCAUUUGACAGCGCAUGAGGAAUUAAAGAUAGUAGUACCUCAAGCUCAUUUGUCCUUUCUACUUUAAAUUCAGUAUUAAAAUAAUAUUGUAAAUUUGAUAUUUUUUUAUCACAAUUUUACCAGUCCCAUUAAGUGGGUUAAAUGUGUUGCUAGUGAACACUGCAAAGUGGUAAGAUUACAUCAGUUCUCCCUGUCAAAGGAUCAGACACUUAAGUUUGGGGAUUUGGUUUGUAGUUAUGACUUAGUUCCCUGUUCACAAAUUCCCAGGAGAUGAGAAUUCCUUAGCUUGGGCGCCAAUGGAGGCCCAGAGUGGCUGCUGGUUCUUCCUUUGGACUAGUGAAAGAUUUGCUGAAGAUCUUCAUUGGUUCUGCUGCUUUGGAACCACCACAGAUGCUGCUGGAGCCUGCGGUUGUCUGCUGCUGCUUAUGGAGGGAAUUUAGUGUGAGAUUUGCAAG